rnacentral:rRNA from 1 species
AACGCUAGCUACAGGCUUAACACAUGCAAGUCGAGGGGCAGCACAGUGUAGCAAUACAUGGGGGGCGACCGGCGCACGGGUGCGUAACGCGUAUCCAACCUUCCCGUUACUCUUGGAUAGCCUUCCGAAAGGGAGAUUAAUACAAGAUGGUAUUCAAAUUCCGCAUGUUAUUUGAAUUAAAGAUUUAUCGGUAACGGAUGGGGAUGCGUGACAUUAGAUAGUAGGCGGGGUAACGGCCCACCUAGUCUACGAUGUCUAGGGGUUCUGAGAGGAAGGUCCCCCACACUGGAACUGUGACACGGUCCAGACUCCUACGGGAGGCAGCAGUGAGGAAUAUUGGUCAAUGGUCGGAAGACUGAACCAGCCAAGUGGCGUGAAGGAUGAUGGUUCUAUGGAUUGUAAACUUCUUUUAUACGGGAAUAAAACCUCCCACGUGUGGGAGCUUGUAUGUACCGUAUGAAUAAGCAUCGGCUAACUCCGUGCCAGCAGCCGCGGUAAUACGGAGGAUGCGAGCGUUAUCCGGAUUUAUUGGGUUUAAAGGGAGCGUAGAAGGGAUGUUAAGUCAGUUGUGAAAGGCUGCGGCUCAACCGCAGCACUGCAGUUGAUACUGGCGUCCUUGAGUGCGGUUGAGGUAUGUGGAAUUCGUGGUGUAGCGGUGAAAUGCUUAGAUAUCACGAAGAACUCCGAUUG